AAUCAACGCUGGCGGCGUGCCCUCAGACAUGCAAGUCGAACGAUUAAAGCUCUCUUCGGAGAGUGUAUAGAGUGGCGCACGGGUGAGUAACACGUAAGUAAUCUACCCUCGAGUGGGGAAUAACAACCGGAAACGGUUGCUAAUACCGCAUAAUGCAGCGGCACCGCAAGGUGACAGUUGUUAAAGAUUUAUCGCUUGAGGAGGAGCUUGCGGCAGAUUAGCUAGUUGGUAGGGUAACGGCUUACCAAGGCUACGAUCUGUAACCGGUCUAAGAGGACGGUCGGUCACACUGACACUGAAUAACGGGUCAGACUCCUACGGGAGGCAGCAGUCGGGAAUUUUGGGCAAUGGGCGAAAGCCUGACCCAGCAACGCCGCGUGAAGGAUGAAGUAUUUCGGUAUGUAAACUUCGAAAGAAUAGGAAGAAUUAAUGACGGUACUAUUUAUAAGGUCCGGCUAACUACGUG
rnacentral:rRNA from 1 species